rnacentral:rRNA from 1 species
UACAGAGGUCUCAAGCGUUGUUCGGAUUCAUUGGGCGUAAAGGGCGCGUAGGCUGCGGGUCAAGUCGGGUGUGAAAUCUCAGAGCUCAACUCUGAAACUGCACUCGAUACUGCUUUGCUCGAGGACUGGAGAGGAGAUUGGAAUUCACGGUGUAGCAGUGAAAUGCGUAGAUAUCGUGAGGAACACCUGUGGCGAAAGCGGCGCACUGGACCACAACUGACGCUGAGGCGCGAAAGCUUGGGGAGCAAACAGG